ACUUCUCACCCCCACCCCCUUUUCGGAGGGCGGCUUGCGGGCGUGGACGUGGAGGCCUUGCCGGAAAAUGGGGGAAACUCCUUUCGGCUCCUCUGAAAUGCAUUAGCGGAGACCCCAGCGUUGGGCCCCUUCGGCGUGAUAAUUGUCUACGUCGCAAGGUCAACGCGAGCGACCCCGCUUCGAACCUGCCCGUCGACGUGUACGCCGCGAGGCGCGCACGGCGCAGUGCACAAAUUAACGAAAC
rnacentral:misc_RNA from 1 species